rnacentral:lncRNA from 1 species
UCAAGAUUCUCCGUCUGCGUAUUUCAUCAAAGCAAGAAACGCAGCUGGCUACGAGCCUACGAGUGAUAUUUGCACAACUCAAGAGCAAGUCUCACCAGCCUGCAGCGGAGUAGGAUGGACGUCAAUCGGUACCUUUCGAAAUCAUACUAUCCUGGUACAACACAUUUUGCUAUAUGUUAAAACAUAUUCGUUAAAACGGAAACGUCAUAAACGACUGGGUCUAAAUGCCACUCUAAAGGUCCAGACACACCGGAUGCGAUUCGAC